AGGAGCAAGAACGGUAACUCCAAAUGCACCUCCAUCUUCCUUAGCAGCUGAUGCCUUCACAGGUAAGUGCUACACACAACUUUAGUCAGCGAAGCUCUUUGCAGAGACUCACAGCUGUACAAGGUUCUCAAGGGACGCUAGUCCUGCCACACAGUGCCAUGCUUCAGAUAUUCUUCCAAACCGGAACCGCCGGCGUGGCUCUUCCCAAGUUUAGCUGCCAGCAUGAUCUGUACCUUCGGCCCACUCUGGACACAGCUUCUCUGUGCUGACCCUGAGGAAAUACUCCUGGAAGAGUUCAUGUCAGUGAUGCUGGUCUUUUCUUAACCACUGCUGAUUUCUCAGCCCUGGUUGGCCAGCACUAAUUGU